rnacentral:ncRNA from 2 species
CUCUUAUCCAGAGAGGUUGAGGGACAGGCCCUAUGAUACCUCGGCAACCAGUCUGUAUGAUCAAACAUACAAACAAGGUGCCAAUUCCUGCAGAGCUUUUUGUUCUGGUAGAUGAGAG